ensembl:snoRNA SNORD18 Small nucleolar RNA SNORD18
CCGCUGUGAUGAUCCCCACUUCUGGUCCGUGUUUCUGAAUAACAUGAUUGUUGUGGAAGUUCUGAGCCU